rnacentral:rRNA from 1 species
UGUGUAGGCGGUGUUCUAAGUCUGUUGUGAAAUCUCCCGGCUCAACUGGGAGGGUGCGGCGGAGACUGGAAUGCUAGAGUAUGGGAGAGGUAAGCGGAAUUCCUGGUGUAGCGGUGAAAUGCGUAGAUAUCAGGAGGAACACCUGUGGUGUAGACAGCUUACUGGACCAUGACUGACGCUGAGACACGAAAGCGUGGGUAGCAAACAGGAUUAGAUACCCUGGUAGUCCACGCCCUAAACGAUGCAUACUUGGUGUGAGCCAUUCAUUUGGUUCGUGCCGGAGCUAACGCGUUAAGUAUGCCGCCUGGGGAGUACGGUCGCAAGGCUGAA